rnacentral:sRNA from 1 species
UAGUAUACCCUGCCGAAGCCUUUGGCUGCAGCGACUCAAAACAAUUGCAACAGUCCGCCUUGCGGGCAACACCACGAUCCUACUGGGACUUCCAUCCUGCCUGUCAGGCGUGGAAACCAGUGGCCUGUGUAGACAGGUUCACAGAUCAAACAGUGGUGGCUGACAGCUCCGCUUCCCGGAGACUGUUCGGUUAAGAUAUGACCGGUCUCCCCUGUAGCCAGCCGGAGAACACACGUUCCGUAGGUGAACCUGCGGAAGGAUCAUUACAGAGUUAGGGUCUUCCCGGCCCAACCUCCAACCCUAUGUGUACCUAUCUUUGUUGCUUUGGCGGGCCAGUGAGACAUCUCACCGGUGGCCUCGGGCUGUCGAGCGCCCGUCAGAGACCCAUUCAAACUCUGCCAAUCGUGCAGUCUGAGUAUCAAUACAAUAGUCAAAACUUUCAACAACGGAUCUCUUGGUUCUGGCAUCGAUGAAGAACGCAGCGAAAUGCGAUAAGUAAUGUGAAUUGCAGAAUUCAGUGAAUCAUCGAAUCUUUGAACGCACAUUGCGCCCUUCGGUAUUCCGGGGGGCAUGCCUGUUCGAGCGUCAUUACACCACUCAAGCUUGGCUUGGUAUUGGGCCUUCGUCCCUGUGGGCGCGCCUGAAAAUCAGCGGCGAUGCAGCCUGGCUUCAAGCAGUAUUAGUUUACCUCUCGCUUUGGAAGCCCGGGCCUGGGUCAGCCAGACAACCCCCAAUUUUUCUCAGGUUGACCUCGGAUCAGGUAGGGAUACCCGCUGAACUUAAGCAUAUCAAUAAGCGGAGGAAAAGAAACCAACAGGGAUUGCCUCAGUAACGGCGAGUGAAGCGGCAACAGCUCAAAUUUGAAAUCUGGCCCUCUCAGGGUCCGAGUUGUAAUUUGGAGAGGAUGCUUCGGGUACGGCUCCGGUCUAAGUUCCUUGGAACAGGACGUCACAGAGGGUGAGAAUCCCGUACGUGACCGGCCGCUACGCCCAUGUGAAGCUCCUUCGACGAGUCGAGUUGUUUGGGAAUGCAGCUCAAAAUGGGUGGUAAAUUUCAUCUAAAGCUAAAUAUUGGCCAGAGACCGAUAGCGCACAAGUAGAGUGAUCGAAAGAUGAAAAGCACUUUGGAAAGAGAGUCAAACAGUACGUGAAAUUGUUGAAAGGGAAGCGCUUGCAACCAGACUUGCCCACGGGUGAUCAGCCGGUAUUUUUACCGGUGCACUCGCCCGUGGUCAGGCCAGCAUCGGUUCGGGCGGUCGGACAAAGUCCCCCGGAAUGUGACUCCUUUCGAGGAGUGUUAUAGCCGGGGGUGCAAUGCGACCCGCCCGGACCGAGGACCGCGCU